rnacentral:snoRNA from 1 species
UGCCUAAGCCACGUCCUUGGAAAGCUUAUACGCAAUGAUCUUGGAUGCUAUGAUUGGGCAAAUAUUAAAUAUUUUCACAUUUCUGAUAGGAAACCAAGGGCAUUAAUUCUGUUGCUCAGUGGUGCCAUUGUUGUGAUUACACUU